GAUUUUGAGCAGUGGAUCACUCAGCUCAUGCGUUGAUGAAAAACUUAGCUAGCUGCGAGAACUAAUGUGAAUUGCAGGACACAUAGAUCAUUGACACUUUGAACUCAAUUUGCGGUCCUGGGUUACUCCCAGGGCUAUGCCUGUCUGAGGGGCU